rnacentral:lncRNA from 1 species
GACUCUUCUAAGUCGGGCCUGUUGUCCUCUGUUUCUCUCUCCUGUCUGUCUCCUCUUUUCUCCAUCUCUCAGAGCAGAUACGGUGUAGGAGAUCGAGGUGUUAGGCUGUACGGCGCUUUUCCCGUGAGGCCCAACCCUGAGGAGAAAAGACUGCCCUCUUCAGGGAAUUACUCCGGACAGGGAGGGGGCAGUGGGAACGGCGGAGGAGGGGGAGACGAGGACUACGAGAUCCCUCCUAUAACCCCCCCCGAAUCACCCCGAGCCGCCGCUGCUGCACCUGAUGGACCCCGAGUCCAGCUACCUGUGUCACUCCAUCCCUCACAACGGCCUGAUCAACCCGUACUCAUACCCCGAGCUGCCCGCCCUCAUGAUGUCCAACAUGCUCGCCCAGGACGGACACCUGCUGUCCAGCCAGAUGCCCUCGGUGAGUCCCGCGCUUCUGCCCUACAUAGACAACGACUGCUCCAAACUAAUUACGUGGGCUUAUAACACAGCAGCAGGUUGUGGAUGAGCCAAUCCCAGAAUGCACUGCGAUGAGCUCAAGAUCUAAGAGAGCAGAUGAAGUCGAGGGAAGGGUCUAAUUAUGCAUAUUAUUUUAUUCCUUACUGAAACUUUUUUAAAAAUAGGCCAGUUUAAUUGAAACCUUGCAUACAAUAUUUAAUCUAAUUAAUUAUUAUAUUAUAUUAUAUUAUAUUAUAUUAUAUUAUAUUAUAUUAUAUUAUAUUAUAUUAUAUUAUAUUAUAUUUAUAUAUUUAUAUAUUUAUAUAUUUAUACAGUAAAAACUACUGAUUAACUACUGAUUAAGAAUAUAGUUUUUAGUCUGUAUUUUGUCAUAAUUUCUUGAACCAUUCCAAUCCUCUCUGCUCCUCCUCCUCCUCAUAUCCAGAGCUCAUUUACUUUGUGUUUUGUUGCUUAACACAGACUCUGAGGGCUAUAAAGAAAUAUCAGGAGUGUCGUCAAAUCUGCCAUCUGUGGAAACUCCCUCAUAAAGUGGAGAAAUCCACAGAACGGCUCAGAAACGCUGGGAAAACACUGAGGAAUUCAUCUUUAGGGGUCAGUCUCACUCUUUAAGAGUGCAAAAUAGAUCUUAUUUCUUACUAGUGGUUUGGAUUGAAAUGUUAAUUGAAAUCAAUCUAAAUAAAAAAUAAAUAAAAAAAACACUAUUUUUCAAAGUUGAGUAAAACAAAGAUUGAACUGAACUGGGGAAAAAAUUAAAUAAAACAAGUUUUAGUUGAAAUACUAAAAAUUCUAAAACUGAAAUAAAAAUAAAUUAAAGCUAAAUAGAAAAAAAUGACAAAAGCAUGUAAUAAAAUUACUAAAACUAGCUAAAAGCUAUUUCAAAAUACUAAUAAAUGUAUAAUACUACAAUAAUACUAAAACAAUAUUGAAGAAAUCUUUAAUGUGGAUUUCACUCUUUAAAAGUGCAGAGUAUAAUUAUAUUUAACUAUAACAAGUACUACUGUAAGUACAGAAGUGAAUUAAAAGUGAUUAAAACUGAAAUAUAAAAAUAAAAUUGAAGCUAAAUGUAGGCUAAAAAAUGACAAAAAAAUAAAAGUCAUAAAAAACCUGAACUGAAAAAAAAAUUAAUAAAAGUUCAUUCAAAAUAUGAAUAAAUAUUUUAUUAGUUUAAUUCUAAAAUAACUUUGAGGAAUUCUUAUUUAAUGGUGAAUUGCACUCUUUAAGAAUGCAAAAUAGAAUUAUAUUUAACUAUAGAUUAAGUACUAAAAUUGCUACAUUAAAAAUAAAGCUAAACAGAAAUAUUAAAAAUAUUAAAAAUUAAACAAUUCAAUCUGAAUUAAAAAAUAAAUUAAAAGCUAAAUAAAAAUAAUUAAAAUAAAUAGAAGUAUUAUUAUGAACAUUUCUACAAAAUGUCAAUUUAAUGUGCAGUUUGAUAGUCUUAAUAGCUAGUGUUUCAAAGAGGAUCACAUGUUUGCUUGUUCAAAUAUGUAAAAAAAAAAAAAAAAAAGCCAACUAUCUACUAUAUUUUAUUUUUUUCUUUUUUUUUUUUUAGAUUCACCUCUUUUAAACAAAGCACAGUGUCUUCUUUUUAUAUGCCAGGGCUUUAUUAUUUGUGCCUUUUGAUUUUAAAACUUUGACUGUGAAACUGGAAUUCGAUGCAACAGCAGGACAGAAUUUAAAUUCAGCUGGACUCUGGUCAUUCUUCUAAUGGCUCUCUACAAAAGAAGCCACUUAAAAUGGACAUCAGGCAGCAGCACGAAAUGGAUGACAGCAGUUCUGCAGCCGUAUGAAUCUAUGCAUGCAAUUUCUUGAGCUACCAGAAUGCAUUAAAUCAACCAUUCUUUCAUUUCGAGAUCCAAUUUCUAUAUUGACACCCAUCGAGCGGGUGAAUAGAGUGUGCUAGUCAAUAAUACUUCACUAAAUGACGCGUACGUUCAGCGUGAUGGACUGCCAUUUUAUUCCCAUUUCUUCCCCAAGCAAACUUCUUUAAGCAUGUAGCGAUUAUGUUCUGCAGUAUUUGUGCUGUAAAUUUCAGGUUGUUUCUGGUUGAGGCAUUCAUCAGGGUUUAUAUGCCCACAAUAACAAUGAUAAAACCAAUCAUUUCUGGAAAGCUAUAUGCUCUGUGAGCUGUAUAAAUGGGGAAUAGGGUCAGUGCAUAUAUUCCAUCUUCAGAAGAAAAGAGAAGAAAAGCCAUUAGGUUUCAUCUUCCAUCUUGAGUAGAUCGAGCUGGAGAGAUCUUUUUUCAUUAGAGCGGUGCAGAGCGAGAGAGACUGUCAGAGAAAAGAGAUGGAGAGAGAUGGGCUGGAGGGGCAGGAAGAGUGAUAGAGCAACGACGAGGAGGACGGGAGGGGUAAAAAGAGGUGAAUGAAUGAACACAGCACUGGGAUAAACGGAAAACUGCUUUGAAUGGAAUGUCAUCAGUACUAAGAGCUUUUCAAAGUAUAUCAAACAAUUUAGAUGGAGCACUGCUGUAUGCACACAACUUCCAUCUCCAUAACUGCGUUUGUGCUUCUGAUGAAGUAUAAAUACUGUAUAUAGACCAGCAGCCUUUACUGGUAAUGCAGGUUCAUUUAAGACUUAAUAAGCAAACAAAGUUGAAGAUACAUGAAGUAACCAGAGUAUUACUAGUUUUAAACAUUAAAGUCAUUAAAACUUAAGAUCAUACGAUGCAACCUUAUGUUGCAUCGUAUGAUCUUAUGAAUCAAUUUGUAACCACAGUUGUAAUGCAUUGUAACACCUUUUGAAAGUAUAAUGCAUUAAAACACAUGACAAACAAAUCUUCAAAUAGUAUAACACAUUUUUAUGAACAGGUGCUGUAUAAUGCAUUACAAUGUACAUUUUGAAUACUUUUAUAAUGCAUUAUACAUUAAGGCUUUAAGUAAAGAGUUAUGUCAUGUAAUACUUUCAGUACAAUAAAAGCAAGAAAGGAUCACUAAUUGCAUCAAGUUAUCCUUGCUGACUAGGUUUAGUAUUGCAGUAUUGUUAGUAUUGUUUAGUAUACAUCUUGAUAAAUCAAAUAAAUGGUAUUCUUGACAAAUACAAUGCAAUGUUUGCAAAGCUAUACUGAAAAUAUUUAUUUUAAAGCAUGCAAUCUCAGAAAUUGCAUGCCUAUAAAGAAUUGGCAAGUAACACAUUGAAAUAAACAUUCAUUUUUGAAGUAUAAAAACUGAAAUUGUAGUUUCUUGUAAAACAUACUGUUUACAACUGAGCUGUAUAAGCUAACCUGGAUAUCAAAGUUACAAAUGUAUGCUCACCCGAUGAAUCGAGCAGUUUAGGAGACGUGGAUUUUGAAUGCAACAUGCUUCAUUAAUGAAAUGUCACAUUUCAAUGAAAUUUCAAGGGCAAUCGAGUGAGUAAAAAAAUAGCAUGUCAUUAGCUGAAGGAUCAUUUGCAGUAUCAUAGAUUUACAGUAACAGUUUGAGGCAUUUGUCCUUGAGUACAAGUGUUUUGUUGAGCGUGUUGUAUAAUACAGAAUAAUGUAGUCUGUAGUUUAAAGUUUAGUGCUUUUUGUUUACUCCAUGAAAGUAAACUGGAAUGUGUUUAUUCGUUAAUGUUAAGUGUGCAUGCAAUGUUGCAUUUGGGAAUGCAUUGUAAUGCAUGAAUUCAUCAAAAUGCAUGCAUGCUUUGGAUUAGAAGAAUCUAAAUGCAUGAAUGCAAAUAAAUGCAAACCAGCAGGAAUUUCACUCAAGCUCUCAAAGUUUUUUCUGGAGGCCUGUGAAGGUAGUAAUGGUUUUCCAGCCUGUACUUAGACUGCUAGAUUCAUCACCGCCUGAAUGAACCGGCCUGCGGUCGGGACUCGACCAGAAAUAGCCCGAAGAUGACGGCCUGCCCAAACUCUCAGGCUAUUUGCGGCCGUCCAGCCUUCGAGCGGCUUUAAUCAAAUGUAUUUUUGUUGAAUUCCACCCAAGAUUUGAAAAUAAAAUACCCUCCGAAACGGCAUCUGUCGGCUUUGAGAAAGAGAUGGAGGAAUGAAUUUUUCCUCCCAAAAAAGCGGACGGAACGAUGUACGAUUAAUCAAUAUAAAGCAAAAGAUAUUUGCAUCAUGCCACAACUCGGGGAUUACAUUUGUAGCGGAAAUGCUUUAUGGAACUAUUAAUAUCUUUUAUUUUCUUUCCCUGCAUCGCAGUUCAAAGAGCGUAAUAGAAUGCAUUUCCUGCAAGGAAUAUUACACCGAUGAUUGAUGGAUCCGGAGAAAACGGGGAAAACACUGGGCUGUUCAAUAGGCCCUGAGAAAUCUGAGAGAGAGAGAAGGAGAGAGAGAGAGAAGGAGAACAAAACCCCCCUGGUUUUAAACAGCUUUCUUUUCACCUUUGCGAUUAUUUAUUUUCAAAUAGUCCUUCAGGGUAAUGUACCAUUUUCUUAUUUCACACCGCUAUUUCCCAUAAAUGAGGGGAAGGUGCGAUAAAUCAAGAGGGAAACAUAGACUUGCGCAAAAGACUGCGAGAGCGCUAAAGAUUUAUGUAACACAUUCAUGUUUUCCACUUCUUCUUUUUAGUGCUGCACUGUGAAAGCCUGCCUAAUAAAAGCCCCUAUUAAUAUUUCCUGUUGCCUAGCAACCGCAGGCAGCAAGUAAUAGCAUUCCGUGGAAAAAUAGAUGACCGGGCCGAU